rnacentral:rRNA from 1 species
GACGAACGCUGGCGGCGUGCUUAACACAUGCCAGUCGAACGGAAAGGCCCCCUUGUGGGGUACUCGAGUGGCGAACGGGUGAGUAACACGUGAGUAACCUACCCUUGACUUUGGGAUAACUUCAGGAAACUGGGGCUAAUACCGGAUAGGAGCUCCUGCUGCAUGGUGGGGGUUGGAAAGUUUCGGCGGUUGGGGAUGGACUCGCGGCUUAUCAGCUUGUUGGUGGGGUAGUGGCUCACCAAGGCUUUGGCGGGUAGCCGGCCUGAGAGGGUGACCGGCCACAUUGGGACUGAGAUACGGCCCAGACUCCUACGGGAGGCAGCAGUGGGGAAUAUUGCACAAUGGGCGGAAGCCUGAUGCAGCAACGCCGCGUGCGGGAUGACGGCCUUCGGGUUGUAAACCGCUUUCGCCUGUGACGAAGCGUGAGUGACGGUAAUGGGUAAAGAAGCACCGGCUAACUACGUG